rnacentral:rRNA from 1 species
UACAGAGGUCUCAAGCGUUGUUCGGAUUCAUUGGGCGUAAAGGGUGCGCAGGUGGCGGCGCGCGUGGGGGGUGAAAUCGCCCGGCUUAACUGGGCGGGGGCCUUCCAGACGGCGUGGCUUGAGCAGCGGAGGGGGACGUGGUAUUCCGGGUGGAGCGGUGAAAUGCGUAGAGAUCCGGAGGAACACCGACGGCGCAGGCAGCGUCCUGGCCGCUUGCUGACACUGAGGCGCGACAGCGUGGGGAGCAAACAGG